GAUGAACGCUGGCGGCGUGCCUAAUACAUGCCAGUCGAGCGAACGGACGAGAAGCUUGCUUCUCUGAUGUUAGCGGCGGACGGGUGAGUAACACGUGGAUAACCUACCUAUAAGACUGGGAUAACUUCGGGAAACCGGAGCUAAUACCGGAUAAUAUUUUGAACCGCAUGGUUCGAAAGUGAAAGACGGUCUUGCUGUCACUUAUAGAUGGAUCCGCGCUGCAUUAGCUAGUUGGUAAGGUAACGGCUUACCAAGGCAACGAUGCAUAGCCGACCUGAGAGGGUGAUCGGCCACACUGGAACUGAGACACGGUCCAGACUCCUACGGGAGGCAGCAGUAGGGAAUCUUCCGCAAUGGGCGAAAGCCUGACGGAGCAACGCCGCGUGAGUGAUGAAGGUCUUCGGAUCGUAAAACUCUGUUAUUAGGGAAGAACAUAUGUGUAAGUAACUGUGCACAUCUUGACGGUACCUAAUCAGAAAGCCACGGCUAACUACGUG
rnacentral:rRNA from 1 species